rnacentral:rRNA from 1 species
AUUGAACGCUGGCGGCAGGCUUAACACAUGCAAGUCGAGCGAGCGGCGGACGGGUGAGUAAUGUCUGGGAAACUGCCUGAUGGAGGGGGAUAACUACUGGAAACGGUAGCUAAUACCGCAUACCAUCAGAUGUGCCCAGAUGGGAUUAGCUAGUAGGUGGGGUAACGGCUCACCUAGGCGACGAUCCCUAGCUGGUCUGAGAGGAUGACCAGCAACACUGGAACUGAGACACGGUCCAGACCCCUACGGGAGGCAGCAGGGGGGAAUAUUGAACAAUGGGAGCGAGCCUGAUGCAGCCAUGCCGCGUGUGUGAAGAAGGCCUUCGGGUUGUAAAGCACUUUCAGCGAGGAGGCGUUACUCGCAGAAGAAGCACCGGCUAACUCCGUGCCAGCAGCCGCGGUAAUAC